rnacentral:rRNA from 1 species
AGAGUUUGAUCCUGGCUCAGAACGAACGCUGGCGGCAGGCCUAACACAUGCAAGUCGAACGAUGCCUUCGGGCAUAGUGGCGCACGGGUGAGUAACACGUGGGAACAUACCUUUUGGUGGGGGAUAACUUCGGGAAACUGAAGCUAAUACCGCAUACGCCCCUUGGGGGAAAGAUUUAUCGCCGAAAGAUUGGCCCGCGUCCGAUUAGCUAGUUGGUGAGGUAAUGGCUCACCAAGGCUCCGAUCGGUAGCUGGUCUGAGAGGAUGACCAGCCACACUGGGACUGAGACACGGCCCAGACUCCUACGGGAGGCAGCAGUGGGGAAUAUUGGACAAUGGGCGCAAGCCUGAUCCAGCCAUGCCGCGUGAGUGAUGAAGGCCUUAGGGUUGUAAAGCUCUUCACCCACGACGAUGAUGACGGU